AUUGAACGCUGGCGGCAUGCCUAACACAUGCAAGUCGCACGCGAAAGGGGGCAACCCGACGUAGAGUGGCGGACGGGUGCGUAAUACGUAGGAAUCUACCUGAUAGUGGGGGACGAACCCGGCGAAAGCCGGGCUAAUACCGCAUACGACCUAUGGGUGGAAAGCCGGGGACCGGCAAGGCCUGGCGCUAUUAGAUGAGCCUGCGUCGGAUUAGCUAGUUGGUGAGGUAAAGGCUACCAAGGCGACGAUCCGUAGCUGGUC
rnacentral:rRNA from 1 species